rnacentral:sRNA from 1 species
UCCCUCCCCAAGCUGCACAUCUGUAGAAGAGGAUGACCUUCCCCAAGAUAGAGGAGGACCCUUCUUUGGCCAAGGGUAGAGGAAGAACUGUGCUCUCCUGCUAGAACCUCCAAACAAGCUCUCUCAUAUUCUAUGAUAUUCACUUACAGCUGUGGUCCUCAACCCCUGGGCUGUGGGAGACCAGU